GUAUACACCGCCCGUCGCUCCUACCGAUUGGGUGAUCCGGUGAAAUGUUCGGAGGUCGGUCGUUCCCGCCGGGGCGACUCGGCGGUGGCCGGCCGAAGUCCAUUGAACCAUAUCAUUUAGAGGAAGGAGAAGUCGUAAUAAGGUUUCCGUAGGUGAACCUGCAGAAGGAUCA
rnacentral:rRNA from 1 species